GGCCGCUUUCUAACGCACCUUGCUCGAUUUUAUCUUCUUUCGUGUUCUUCCCUAAAAUUUCAACGCAAUCCAUGUUUCAUUUAUCUUCCAAUUGAUCUGUAGAUUCAUCUAAUUCGCGUUUCCCUCUUUCUAUUGAUACCAAUUUUUAUCUAUUCCGUUUGUCAAAUCGAGAUCUAGGGUUAGGGUUGUCGAUCUCCUCAAAAGCUAUUUAAUUUAGCAAUCCAUCGUUUUCUUCAGCUAAUUAGUCGAGUUUUCAUGAAUAUCCCUUUUUUUUGUUGAUGCCAAUUUCAUGUCUUUCGUGCUCGAUUGAGAUCUAGGGUUCAUCCAAGAUCUGUAAAGGGCUUUCUCUUGAUUCAUAUAUAUUUUAGGGGGGUUUUUGAUUUUUUUUUUCACUCCAGCUUAAGCCUCUGAAACGCCGAAGCAUUUUAUCUCUUUAGACAGGUGUUGAAGUACCAUCAACAUGUCCGAGUAGGUCAAAUGUUAGACAGUGGGUGAGGAAGAGCUCUCUCCAUGCAUCGUAGUUGUGAUCAUCAGUGUCAAGAAUCAGCGGAAUGUGAUAUUUAAUGUUGGUGACUCCAAAAGCUCUGUCGAAUUGAGCAGCCAUGGAAGAAGAAAAGAAAGAUGCGUGGUGAGGAAGGAAAUAAGAAAAAAGAAUUGAAGAAGGCCAUCGGAGGAGCUAGAGAAGAAGGCUCUGAUACCAUGAAAAUCUUUGUAUUUCCUUGAUCGAUAAUGAAAGAUUUACAAGUUUAUUGUAUUUAGGGUUCAAACGCCCUUUGGAUGCUGAGAAGUUUCAUGAGCUCCCGUUUGAACAUUCCAUACAGCUUGGCUUUAGCGAUAAGUCAGUCGACGCAGUUUGAAGAAGUUAUUCCACGCUAUACUCUUACCACGGGUGUAUAUAAUUAACCUUACUGAACGAGGGAGAUGUUUUGAAACCCCAAGGAGGUGAAACCUUUGAUGAAGAGUCCAUUUUUGUUGACCCUGGUCUUGAUAUGAAUGGUUGUUUAGAUCGGGUCAUGAAAGAUUGCGAAGGGGAAGAAGAUGCAACUCACUCUCCUCGUUCUGAAAAGUGUUCUGGACUUGGUCUUGGACCUCCAUGAACAGAGACUUUCUAUGCUUUCCUCUUGGAUCAACCUGCUAGAUAGCAAGUGUCCAUUGGAGCAGAUCAUCAGGCCAUCGUUCCUGAAUGGGAAGGUUGUCUGAAUGUGAACCUAGAAUCUUCAGGCACGUCGAAGCUUUCUGGUACACGUAUUGUUCCCAUGCACGACCUUUGAACUUGCACAUGAUGGCUUGAGAAACUGUGUGUAAAGAAAGAGGAGACUGGUCUUGGAGAUCAACAGAAGAAGUUUAAUGAUGCGAAAGUUUCAACAAAUGGCAAACAUGUUAAG